AGGACGAACGCUGGCGGCAUGCCUAACACAUGCAAGUCGAACGGGGGUAGCAAUACCCUAGUGGCGAACGGGUGAGUAACACAUAAGCAAUCUGCCCUUCACAGGGGGAUAACAGCGGGAAACUGCUGCUAAUACCGCAUAAGACCACGGUACCGCAUGGUACAGGGGUAAAAACGAAUCAGUGGUGAAGGAUGAGCUUAUGUCCCAUUAGCUAGUUGGUGAGAUAACAGCCCACCAAGGCGACGAUGGGUAGCCGACCUGAGAGGGUGAUCGGCCACACUGGAACUGAGACACGGUCCAGACUCCUACGGGAGGCAGCAGUGGGGAAUAUUGGGCAAUGGAGGAAACUUCCUUACCCAGCAAUGCCGCGUGAGUGAAGAAGGUCUUCGGAUUGUAAAGCUCUUUGAUUGGGGACGAAGAAAGUGACGGUACCCAAAGAACAAGCCCCGGCUAACUACGUGCCAGCAGCAGC
rnacentral:rRNA from 1 species